rnacentral:rRNA from 1 species
AUGUCGACGGCUUCAGCGGAUAAACGGAAGGGCUCUCCCGGUCAACAGGACGAUGAUCCCCAGGCCCAAGGCCGCAAACGAUUGAGAUCUUCAGUACCGGAUCUUCCAAAGGACAUCUGGCAUCAUAUACUGUCCCUUCUGCCACUGCCAGAUGCUGCGCGAGCUGGCUGUGUGUCUCAAACAUUUCGAAGCUCCUGGAGAUCCCAUCCUAACCUCACCUUAAGUAUGGAAACGCUGCGCCUGGAUGGACAUACAUGCAGAGAAGAUAAACUGGCACGGGUUUUCACCAAGAGAGUCAACCGCAUCAUGAGAAAACACUCUGGCGGCGUGAGGACAUUCAACCUUAGUUAUAAUUACCUUCGUUCUUUUCUGGACACCAGUUAUCUCAACAGGUGGCUUGAGAUUGCUGUUACUCCGGGGAUUGAAGAGGUCAAACUUUCAAUGCCUCUAGGACGCACCGCGGUUUAUUACGAGUUCCCAUGCCCGGUUUUAUCCAACGGGAAUGGAAACUCGAUUCGACAUCUUCACCUCAGCCGUUGCGCCUUCCAUCCCACGGCCGGGCUUGGUUGCUUGACAAGGCUGUUUCUGUUGGAGGUGCGCAUCAUGGGAGAUGAGUUAGGGCAUCUUCUGUCCAGUUCUCUUGCUAUGGAAGAGUUGUGUCUCAAUAGUUGUGAUAAGAUAAUUCGCCUCAAGAUAUCUUGCCUGCUAAAUCGGUUCAGCUGCCUGUCAGUGUUUCAUUGCAAGUCUCUGGAAGUGAUAGAGAAUAGAGCUCCAAAUCUUUGCUUUGUUCGCAUUGAUGGCGCCGUAGAGAAACUUCCGGUUGGAGAUUUAUUGCAAAUGAAGAGACUGCACAUGUUGGAUUACUACGAAUCUGACCUUGUUCAUGAUGCUCGUUCCAAGCUUCCAAUUAUGCCAAAUCUUGAAACCCUCAACCUAUCUUCGGCUGGAUUGAUGUUCAAUACGCCAAUUUUAGCUGUCAAAUUCCUCUUCCUGAAGAACCUGCAGAUUGAUCUUAAUGAUGGACAGACGGGGGGCUUUUCCCCAUCCUAUGAUUAUUUUUCUCUAGCUUAUUUCCUGGAUGCUUGUCCUGUUCUGGAGAAAUUUGUCUUGGGUGUAUCACAAACUCGAGUAAAGCAUGAAUUGAUUUCUGAUGGAGACUCGAACAUGAGACGGAUGCCAGGACAUGUCCAUUGCAGCGUCAAGAAUGUCAGGAUAAUGGGCUUCUGCUCUGCAAAGAGCAUGGUCGAACUAACCUGCCAUAUUCUUGAGAAUGCAACCUCGCUCGAGCGCCUUACGUUGGACGCCGAAUACGACAAUAGUAGUUAUGGAGACGCUGAAAGGUCUUGUGUCGGGAAAAAAGGUGAAUGCAACCCGAAAAGCAGGAGUAUGAUCAUGCACGCCCACAAAGGGCUGGAGGUUAUUGGUAAAUAUGUCUUGGAGAAAGUUCCCUCCACGGUUCAGUUGAGUGUAAAGAAGCUCUGCAGCCGUUGCCAUAAAAUCAAGCCCAAGGGGUUUAGGUAUGAGUAUCGGACUACCAAUCCAUAG